CAGGGAGAACAUGCAAACUCCACACAGGCAGCACCCGAGGUCAAGCUCAAAGCCGGGUCUGUGGCACGGGUGAGGCAGCA